rnacentral:rRNA from 1 species
GACGAACGCUGGCGGCGUGCUUAACACGUGCAAGUCGAACGAUGAAGCUGGCGCUUGCUCCGGUGGAUGAGUUGCGAACGGGUGAGUAACACGUGAGCAAUCUGCCCUUGACUGUGGGAUAACUGCGGGAAACUGUAGCUAAUACCGGAUACUUUCACUGGAAGGCAUCUUCUGGUGAGGAAAGAAUUUCGGUCAAGGAUGAGCUCGCGGCCUAUGAGCUUGUUGGUGAGGUACCGGCUCACCAAGGCGACGACGGGUAGCCGGCCUGAGAGGGUGACCGGCCACACUGGGACUGAGACACGGCCCAGACUCCUACGGGAGGCAGCAGUGGGGAAUAUUGCACAAUGGGCGCAAGUCUGAUACAGCAACGCCGCGUGAGGGAUGAAGGCCUUCGGGUUGUAAACCUCUUUUAGCAGGGAAGAAGCGAAAGUGACGGUACCUGCAGAAAAAGCACCGGCUAACUACGUGCCAGCCGCCGCCGUAA